AUUGAACGCUGGCGGCGUGCUUAACACAUGCAAGUCGAGCGGUAAGGCCCUUUCGGGGGUACACGAGCGGCGAACGGGUGAGUAACACGUGGGUGACCUGCCCUCAGCUCUGGGAUAAGCCUGGGAAACCGGGUCUAAUACUGGAUAUGACUCCAUGACGCAUGUUGUGGGGUGGAAAGCCUUGUGCGGCUGAGGAUGGGCCCGCGGCCUAUCAGCUUGUUGGUGGGGUGAUGGCCUACCAAGGCGACGACGGGUAGCCGGCCUGAGAGGGCGACCGGCCACACUGGGACUGAGACACGGCCCAGACUCCUACGGGAGGCAGCAGUGGGGAAUUUUGGACAAUGGGGGCAACCCUGAUCCAGCCAUGCCGCGUGCGGGAAGAAGGCCUCGGUUGUAA
rnacentral:rRNA from 1 species